CAUAUGGCGUUACAUUUUAGUCAAAAGUUAUGAGCGUGUAAGACAUGCUCACGAGCACAUUAUGUUAUUUCACACGCGCAAAAAUGAACCUUCAGCUGGCAUGAUAAAAGUACUCGCGCACAAAUUCAACAACCGAGAGGUGUGCAUGUAGCUGCGAGCGAGCGCCUGGCAUACUCGCAUAGGUUAACUCUGCUUGUGCAGUGGAAUCCUGCUCGCGCGUAGCGGGCUUCUGCUCGCGGAGUGCUGUUUUGGUCGCGCGGUGGAUUUCUGCUCGCUCGAGUCUACAUGACUUUUGACAAUUUGGGGGCGGAAACCAAGGAGGGAACUGACCCUCUUAUGAUUGGUCACUUUCACACAGGGACAUCCUUGUACCUUGAUUGACAGCUCUCAUUACAGGAAGCACAGAGUUGGGUUAAGUUACCACCGAAGAAGAGUGGGAAUGAAUUAGAAUGAGUUUUCUAACAUACAUUAAAUGUCUCUGCACUUAUAAAAUGCUGCGCUGAUCAUAGUUAGAUCAAUUACCAUCGAUGAAUAUACACUCUAGAAACGGUUGGGUCAUUUUGUUGGGUUAUUUUAUUUCUUUUUAAACACUUUUGGGUAGUUUCAGAUUUACCACGUGUUGGGUUAAACCUGCUGGGUUGCGUCGCUGGGUUGUUUCAGGUCAGCGCUGGGGUAAUUUAACACGCCUUGAAGAUCGCUCCCCAACUGUCAUUUUGGAAGAACAACGGGGAAAAGCCAUGGCUUUCAACGGUUUUAAGAAAAGCACAUGGAUACACUUGUGAGAGAAAAACUCUUCGAGUGCAGUCUUAUUGAGUCUUCUAACGGUUGGAACAAACAUGGAAUUCUUUAACUGAGCAGAGUCCACAAAACCCCAUCCAAUUGUCGUGGUGAUUUAAAAAUGCCAGCAGAUCUCUCAGACAUCGAUCAUAAUUAAAGGACAGGUAAGGAUAUUUUGGACAAUUUUCAAAAGGAAUUGCAAAUUGUAUAUUUAAUUGCAUUUUUCCACAUGUGGACGCAUACAUUGUGACAGUCCAAACGCAAUUGAAACGCAUUUGAAUUUCAGAUGCUUUACACAGAAAGCUGUCAAUUUGUGUCAAGCGUGGGACUAUAUUAUGGGGCAUGUUUGUAUUGGGAGAUAUUUAGUAGUUUUUACCCCAAAUCUCUCACUGUUUCCACUCUGAUGCACGUCAGCAAAACAAUAUUGCAGUUCAAUUACUUUACCAAUUUACCUAUUUCCCUCUUACCCUAUAUUUUAUUCAUCAGGUGAAAAGCAUUUUGCACAAUUGUCUUUGAGUGACGUCACCUCCCACUACAAACACUCUCCAUAGUAUGGUCCCACCUCUGACAAAAAUUGACAGCUUUUAAUGUGAGGCAUUGGAAAUUCAGAUACUAAAGUAAUUGCAAUUCCAUUUGAGUUUUGGCAGGGAACAUGUGCGACACAGUGAACAAACAGACAUGGUAAUUCAUAAAACCUCAUGUACUUGUUCUUAUGAUGCAUCUAUGCUAACAUUAGUCUGUUUCUCUCUUAUUCCGAGGUCACUGUUGCCACCAGAUCCAUUCUGAGUCCAGAUCAGAGGGUCACUGCAGUCUCCCGGAUCCAGUACGUAUCCAGACCAGAUGGUGGAUCAGCACCUAGAAAGGACCUCUACAUCCCUGAAAGACAGCGGAGACCAGGACAACUAGAGCCCCAGAUACAGAUCCCCUGUAAAGACCUUGUCUCAGAGGAGCACCAGGACAAGACCACAGGAAACAGAUGAUUCUUCUGCACAAUCUGACUUUGCUGCAGCCUGGAAUUGAACUGCUGGUUUCCUCUGCUCAGAUGAGAACUGACCCCCAACUGAGCCUGGUUUCUCCCAAGGUUUUUUUCUCCAUUCUGUCACCGAUGGAGUUUCGGUUCCUUGGUUUUCCUUAGUUGGAGACAAUUAAUAUCAAGCGAUAUCAUUGACUUGAUUGCACAGAGGGACGAUACAUCACUGAAUCAGUGAUGAACUGACUUUAACUGAAAACUGAGUGUUUACUGUUGUCCCUUUGCAUUAUUACACACUAUUUUCCUAUUUAAUAUUGUAAAGCUACUAUGAUGCAGUAUUUGUUUAAUAUGACAGGCUUAUUAGUCAUAACACAUGGAAAAUACAGCUGCAAACGGACUUUGCUUUUUCAUUUGAAAUUUGGCAGUCCCUGUGCAUUCAUGAAAACGGAAACAGUAAUUUUUGUUCAGUGUUUUUGAAACAGUGUUUUUGUUCAAGAUUUGCAAUUGUGUUUGGAUUAUGUCACAAUGUGUCACAUGUGGAAAACGCAAUUGAACAUAUAAUUUGCAAUUCCUUUUGAAAAUUAUCCUUCCGUUGACAGGCUCUAUAGCAGAGUACACUGCUCUCAGGUGUAGAUCUUUGCUAAGUGUUUGACAAUAGUACACCCAAAAAUGAAAAUUGUCAUUAAUUAUUCACCCUGGUCUGAAAGCUCUGGUCUGAAAGCUCUCGAAAUUGACUUGUGUUCUGAAGAUGAACGAAGGUCUUACGGGUUUGUAACGACAUGAUAUAAAUUUAUAAUAUACAUUUUAGGACAUCUUUAAAUGAUUUUACAUUUAAAUUUAAAAAAUGUUAAUUGUCAAUGUAAUUUCACUGUGUAUUUAAAUAGCUAAACAUGUAAAAAUGUAAUAGUUAAACAGCUAGACACCGGUUAUUCAGAAAUAAUUUUCUUAUUUAUUGCAACUGUAUUUGUUUUGUUUUUUUGUUUUUGUUUUUGGAUUUGCUGGAAACAAAAAAAAGAAGGGAAAAUUGCAUGUUGUUUGUCAUUGGUACAAAUUUGUGAAUGUCAGAUUCCAUUAAAAUU